rnacentral:lncRNA from 1 species
CUAGGGUUGAUAGAUCCCAUCUAGGUGUAUAUCCUACUCCUAUAGUGGAUCAAUUAUCGCCAACAUCUACUAUAAGGGUUCAUUGAGACUCAUGUUUAUGUGUAAUCAAACUCCAACAACUUCACUGCGAGCAGUUAUAGCACCGCAGGUCAAAGGACUAAUCAUACAACUGCAGUAUCGAGAAAGUCACUAAUGAGUGAGCAG